CUGUCCAUCCCAUAAUGUCUGAUCCACCAACAGCUCUGGUUCUACUGAGGUCCGACUCUGUUGAUCAGUAUGCACUGUAUCUUUAUUGAUUGUUGAUCAGUAUGCACUGUAUCUUUAUUGAUUAUUGAUCAGUAUGCACUGUAUCUUUAUUGAUUAUUGAUCAGUAUGCACUGUAUCUUUAUUGAUUAUUGAUCAGUAUGCACUGUAUCUUUAUUGAUUAUUGAUCAGAAUACACUGUAUCUUUAUUGAUUAUUGAUCAGAAUACACUGUAUCUUUAUUGAUUGUUGAUCAGUAUGCACUGUAUCUUUAUUGAUUAUUGAUCAGAAUACACUGUAUCUUUAUUGAUUAUUGAUCAGUAUGCACUGUAUCUUUAUUGAUUAUUGAUCAGUAUACACUGUAUCUUUUAUGGAUGAUAUUGAUCAGAAUACACUGUAUCUUUAUCUUUAUAUUUAUGUUUGACUGAGGUUUGGUGAAUGUUUGACUGAGGUUUGGUGAAUGUUUGACUGAGGUUUGGUGAAUGUUUGACUGAGGUUUGGUGAAUGUUUGACUGAGGUUUGGUGAAUGUUUGACUGAGGUUUGGUGAAUGUUUGACUGAGGUUUGGUGAAUGUUUGACUGAGGUUUGGUGAAUGUUUGACUGAGGUUUGGUGAAUGUUUGACUGAGGUUUGGUGAAUGUUUGACUGAGGUUUGGUGAAUGUUUGACUGAGGUUUGGUGAAUGUUUGACUGAGGUUUUGGUGUGAACAU